UCCGGGCGUGAGCGAAGGAUUCGCGCCCCCGCCCGGCUGGUACCCGGACGGCCGCACGACCGGUGUGCUGCGGUGGUUCGACGGCGCCGGCUGGAC
rnacentral:tRNA from 1 species